AGUCGUAACAAGGUUUCCGUAGGUGAACCUGCGGAAGGAUCAUUAGUGAAUAUAGGACGUCCAACUUAACUUGGAGUCCGAACUCUCACUUUCUAACCCUGUGCACUUGUUUGGGAUAGUAACUCUCGCAAGAGAGCGAACUCCUAUUCACUUAUAAACACAAAGUCUAUGAAUGUAUUAAAUUUUAUAACAAAAUAAAACUUUCAACAACGGAUCUCUUGGCUCUCGCAUCGAUGAAGAACGCAGCGAAAUGCGAUAAGUAAUGUGAAUUGCAGAAUUCAGUGAAUCAUCGAAUCUUUGAACGCACCUUGCGCUCCAUGGUAUUCCGUGGAGCAUGCCUGUUUGAGUGUCAUGAAUACUUCAACCCUCCUCUUUCUUAAUGAUUGAAGAGGUGUUUGGUUUCUGAGCGCUGCUGGCCUUUACGGUCUAGCUCGUUCGUAAUGCAUUAGCAUCCGCAAUCGAACUUCGGAUUGACUUGGCGUAAUAGACUAUUCGCUGAGGAAUUCUAGUCUUCGGAUUAGAGCCGGGUUGGGUUAAAGGAAGCUUCUAAUCAGAAUGUCUACAUUUUAAGAUUAGAUCUCAAAUCAGGUAGGACUACCCGCUGAACUUAAGCAUAUCAAUAA
rnacentral:misc_RNA from 1 species